UCCUUUCUGAAAUAUAAUUUAUUAUGUAUUCUUCUCCAUUUUCAGUUUCCAAGAAAACUGUUGUGUCAUGCUUUGGCAAAUGCAGUUUGCAGAAUCGCAUAGGAAGAUGCAUCCAAAAUCCAAUAACAUUUGACCGAACCAAAGCCUUUGCAAAGCUCGGGAAUGAAGCUUCUAAACUUUCUUGAAUCUCCUCUGCCCGCUCCAUAGCAGAAGACUUAGAUUCAGAGCUAUCAUAGAAAUCAUUGACCACGCCUCUCUUUUGUUUGCAGCUUGUAGGCUU
rnacentral:misc_RNA from 1 species